rnacentral:tRNA from 1 species
GCUUACGUAGCUUAAGUAAAGCACAGCACUGAAGAUGCUGA